CGUUGAAAGCUAUUCAAACAACAAAUUCUCUUCAAACUCCUCUAUCUUCUAAGAAGGAAAACCAAAUCUAAAAGCAGAUAUGUCUGGAACAAAAAAAUGUGCCAGCCAGAAGAUCAAAUGCCAAGAUCCUUGCCAAAAAACCCCAGUCUGCAAAGAUCCAUGCCAAGACCCAUGUAAACCUCAGGGUCAACGUGGCAACCUCUUUGUUCGCCAACAAGAUCCUUGCAAUCCUUGCAAGCCUUGUGUUGUCCCCGUCUCCUGCUGUCCUGAUCCUUGUGAUCCUUGUCAGGGCAAAUGACGUUUUUGCUGUGAUUAAUGAAGACUUCACGCUUGAGCCCAAAGUCUAAGAUACUAAUUUACAUCUCUGCAAAAUACUUACAACACAUCUGAUUUUAAAUCCUGCAAUUGCUACAGCUUGUUAAUUAACUCUGCUCAAUUAAACUUUAAAUUGCUUGCUCUAAAUAUAUUUCUUUGUUUUAUUAAACAAACUGCAAUGGGGUGCCAAAUUACUAAAAUAUAGCAAACUUACCAGUACUGAUGUUCAAUACACUGCUGUAGUAAAUUGUUAA